rnacentral:rRNA from 1 species
UACGUAGGGGGCUAGCGUUGUCCGGAAUCAUUGGGCGUAAAGCGCGUGUAGGCGGCUCGAUAGGUCUGCUGUGAAAGUCCAGGGCUCAACCCUGGAAAGCCGGUGGAAACUGUCGGGCUAGAGUCCGGAAGGGGCGAGUGGAAUUCCCGGUGUAGCGGUGAAAUGCGCAGAUAUCAGGAGGAACACCAAUGGCGAAGGCAGCUCGCUGGGACGGUACUGACGCUGAGACGAGAAAGCGUGGGGAGCAAACAGG